rnacentral:rRNA from 1 species
AGCGGCGGAUGGGUGAGUAACACGUGGGGAACCUGCCCCUAGGUCUGGGAUACCAUUUGGAAACAGGUGCUAAUACCGGAUAAUAAAGCAGAUCGCAUGAUCAGCUGUUGAAAGGCGGCGUAAGCUGUCGCUAAGGGAUGGCCCCGCGGUGCAUUAGCUAGUUGGUAAGGUAACGGCUUACCAAGGCAACGAUGCAUAGCCGAGUUGAGAGACUGAUCGGCCACAUUGGGACUGAGACACGGCCCAAACUCCUACGGGAGGCAGCAGUAGGGAAUCUUCCACAAUGGACGCAAGUCUGAUGGAGCAACGCCGCGUGAGUGAAGAAGGUUUUCGGAUCGUAAAGCUCUGUUGUUGGUGAAGAAGGAUAGAGGUAGUAACUGGCCUUUAUUUGACGGUAAUCAACCAGAAAGUCACGGCUAACUACCUGCCAGCAGCCGCGGUAAUACGUAGGUGGCAAGCGUUGUCCGGAUUUAUUGGGCGUAAAGCGAGCGCAGGCGGAAAAAUAAGUCUAAUGUGAAAGCCCUCGGCUUAACCGAGGAACUGCAUCGGAAACCGUUUUUCUUGAGUGCAGAAGAGGAGAGUGGAACUCCAUGUGUAGCGGUGGAAUGCGUAGAUAUAUGGAAGAACACCAGUGGCGAAGGCGGCUCUCUGGUCUGCAACUGACGCUGAGGCUCGAAAGCAUGGGUAGCGAACAGGAUUAGAUACCCUGGUAGUCCAUGCCGUAGACGAUGAGUGCUAAGUGU